ensembl:snRNA U6 U6 spliceosomal RNA
CUUUGGCAGCAUAUACAUACUAAAAUUGGAACGAAACAGAGAAGAUUAGGGUGACCCCUGUGUAAAGAGACAAACAGAUUCGUGAAGUAUUCCAUAUUUUU